rnacentral:rRNA from 1 species
AGCAGCCGCGGUAAUUCCAGCUCCAAUAGCGUAUAUUAAAGUUGUUGCAGUUAAAAAGCUCGUAGUUGAAUUUCGGGAUUGACACAUCGGUCGUGCCUUAAGGGGUAUGAACUGGUGUAGUCAAUUUCUCGCCUUCUGGAGAACCACGAUGCCCUUAAUUGGGUGUCGCGGGGAACCAGGACCUUUACUUUGAAAAAAUUAGAGUGUUUAAAGCAGGCAUUUUGCUUGAAUACAUUAGCAUGGAAUAAUAAAAUAGGACGGCAUGAUUCUAUUUUGUUGGUUUCUAGGAUCACCGUAAUGAUUAAUAGGGAUAGUUGGGGGCAUUAGUAUUCAAUUGUCAGAGGUGAAAUUCUUGGAUUUAUUGAAGACUAACUACUGCGAAAGCAUUCGCCAAGGAUGUUUUCAUUAAUCAAGAACGAAAGUUAGGGGAUCGAGGACGAUCAGAUACCGUCGUAGUCUUAACCAUAAACUAUGCCGACUAGGAAUCAGACGAUGUUAAUUUUUAAUGACUCGUUUGGCA